AGAACCCGAUUGAUCUUUUGGGGUCUUUGGAAAUUGUAUAUGUGAAAGAUGGCAGCGUCUAGGAAUACCAACCAACGCGUCCAAGUCAGGUGAUAUGUGUCUGAGGAAUGACACCUCGCCGACGAUAACAAAACAAAACCAAAAAAUGAAAAUAACAAACUAUAGCUUCAAUGAAAGGAGGUCCCUCAAGACUGCAGCAAAUAUGGCGUUUCCUGAAAUAUAGUUAGAGGGUGGAACUGUUCAACUUUUGACUCAAACUCGUUGAAAGAAUCACCAUUAUGUUACACUACAGAAACAUUAAGGCACUGGUGCAAUACCCUCUUGUUAUUGUUGUUGUUGUUGUUGUUGGUUGGGUUUUCUAACUGUCCGUGUUUAUUAAAGAUUCAAGAGCAGAUCACCUAUUAUUCUCUCUCUCUCUCUCUCUCUCUCUCUCUCUCUCUCUCUCUCUCUCUCUCUCUCUCUCUCUCUCUCUCUCCCCCACACACACACACACACACACACACACACACACACACACACCACCGUUUAUUAAUACAAGCGUGAGGGCCAAGCCAGCUGCCCCUGCCUCCCUUGCCGCCCAGCCCCGUGCACCCCCCCCCACCCCGGCCGAGCACCCCCCCACAGUACACGCUCCCUCCCGCCGUAACUCGACCCCCUAGGAAGGCAGCUUGUCGUGUCCGCCGGCCCUGAAGAAGCUCAAUACGCUAUGAAUAAUUCCCGAACGCUUGUGUUAUGCCGGAGGGCCGUGACGCUCUGCAUAACCUUGGAGGAGCAGAGAGAGAGAGAGAGAGAGAGAGAGAGAGAGAGAGAGAGAGAGAGAGAGAGAGUAGUGGUGGUAGUGAGGAAUGCUUGGCUAGUGUGGGUGUGACUGACUGUUGGUUGUUGUGUUGUGUUGCGUUGCUUCUCUCUCUCUCUCUCUCUCUCUCUCUCUCUCUCUCUCUCUCUCUCUCUCUCUCUCUCUCUCUCUCUCUCUGUUAUGCUUAUGAAUCUUGUUGCUCUACACAUACAAGUUUUAAGCUCCCUUCAAGAAAUAUAAUAAUAAUAAUAAUAAUAAUAAUAAUAAUAAUAAUAAUAAUAAUAAUAAUAAUAAUAAUAAUAAUAAUAAUGAUAAUGGUAAUCAAUGGAGAAAACCUUAAUCAUUUAUCUCCCUCUUCUUUACGUGCAAUAAAUCUCCCCCUUUUAUGCUGCUUAAUAUUAUCUCUUUGUGUCAGUGUGUGUGUGUGUGUGUGUGUGUGUGUGUGUGUGUGUGUGUGUUAACUUCCAUCGCAGUUGUCAAGCGAGUUGCAUUUCGCGGAGAAACACGAGAAGGCGAAAGGUGGAGGGAGAGGAAAGGAGAGGAAGGGAAGAGAAAGGGAGUGCACGUGAGGAGAAAGAGAAGAACGGGAGAAUAGUUUAAAGGAGAGGAAGGAAGAGAAAGAACGCCUGAGGAGAAAGGAAAAAGAAGAAAGAGAAUAACGAGAGGAGAGGAGAGGAAGAGAAAGAGAGAGAACGUGAGGAGACAGAGAAAAGGAGAAAGAAAACAACGGGAGGUAGUUUAAAGGAGAGGAAGGAAGAGGGAGAACGCGGGGAGAUGGUAGGGAAAAGAGGAUAGGAAGGAAGGGAAGGAAGAGCACGUAGAGGGACUAUUAAGAGAAAGAAAACAACAGAAGACUAGUUUAAGAGGAGUAUUUAAGAGGAGUAGUUAAGAGGAAUAGUUAAGAGGAAUAGUUUAAGAGGAGUAGUUAAGAGGAAUAGUUUAAGAGGAGUAUUUAAGAGGAAUAGUUUAAGAGGAGUAGUUAAGAGGAAUAGUUUAAGAGGAGUAGUUAAGAGGAAUAGUUUAAGAGGAGUAGUUAAGAGGAGUAGUUAAGAGGAAUAGUUUAAAAGGAAUAUUUAAGAGGAGUAGUUAAGAGGAAUAGUUUAAGAGGAGUAGUUAAGAGGAAUAGUUUAAGAGGAGUAGUUAAGAGGAAUAGUUUAAGAGGAGUAGUUAAGAGGAAUAGUUUAAGAGGAGUAGUUAAGAGGAAUAGUUUAAGAGGAGUAGUUAAGAGGAAUAGUUAAGAGGAAUAGUUUAAGAGGAGUAGUUAAGAGGAAUAGUUUAAGAGGAGUAGUUAAGAGGAAUAGUUUAAGAGGAGUAGUUAAGAGGAAUAGUUUAAGAGGAGUAGUUAAGAGGAAUAGUUUAAGAGGAAUAGUUUAAAAGGAAUAUUUAAGAGGAGUAGUUAAGAGGAAUAGUUUAAGAGGAGUAGUUAAGAGGAGUAGUUAAGAGGAAUAGUUUAAGAGGAGUAGUUAAGAUGAAUAGUUUAAGAGGAGUAGUUAAGAGGAAUAGCUUAAGAGGAAUAUAAGAGGAUAAACAGAAGAAGAGAAAUAACAGGAUUGAAAAAGUGGAAGGGAAGGAAAACACAAUAGAUAAUGAAAGGGGAAUAAGGAGACGAACGAAAAGGAGAAUAAGGAAAACAAUAACAAAGAGAACAUGAAAAAGGACUGAGGCGUGAAAGGAAACGUGCGUAGCAAAAAAUGGGAAGGAAAAGAAAGGACAAGGUAAAGAGGAGGAAUGAGAAAGGAAGAGAAAGGAAAGAGGAAGAAGAUGAGAAGUACGAGAGAAAGAAGAAAGGGUGUAAGGGGAAGAGAGAAAGGAAAUGGAAGGAUAGAAGUAAGGAAGAAAGGAAAAGGAGAGGGGAGGAAAAGACUAGAAAAUGGAGGAGAGAGAAAAAAGAAAGAAAGGUGAGAGGGAGGAAAGGAAAGGGGAGGUAAAGAGUAGGAAAGGAAGGGGGAGGUAAGGAGGAGGAAAGGAAGGAAAAGGGACAUAAAAGGAAGAAAAGAGAGAUGAUAAAGGCGGAGGAAAGAAAGGAAAAAGGAGAUAAGGAGGAGGGAAGGAAGAAGAGGGGGAGGUAAAGAGUAAAGAGAGGGGGAGAGGUAAGAGAAGAAAGGAGAGAGGGAGGUAAAGAGAAAGGAGAGGGGAGCAAAGGGGAACUAAGCCAAGGGGAGAAGUCGGUUGCCCUAAUUAUGAAACUCUGGGUUCAAAACGUGAGGUAAUGAAGAGAGGGAGGCGGGGUGCUAUUCUGGGCCCUGUGUGUGUGUGUGUGUGUGUGUGUGUGUGUGUGUGUGUGUGUGUGUGUGUGUUGAUAAUGACACUGUGUAGUCACCUUCCACCUUCACUCAAGACACCUUCACCCACGCAGCCACACCUAUGUACACACACACACACACACACACACACACACACACACACACACACACACACACACAGCAACACGUCAC